rnacentral:tRNA from 1 species
GGUGCCGUAGCCAAGUGGUAAGGCAGGGGUCUGCAAAACCCCUAUACGCGAGUUCGAUUCUCGCCGGCACCU